AAGAAGAAAAUUGAAAUAAUUUUUUCAGAAGAAAACCGAGUGCUAAAAGUUAGACAUAAAACUAUGUUAUGCAAAUUUUUUUGUAUAUUACUUUUUAUAUCAUACUAUUUGUUGCAAUGACACAAAUUCUUUGGAUUAUGGACUUUCAGCUUCUGAAUAUUCUUUGAAACUUUAGAACAUGGACUGCUGGCAUGGAAAAACUGAUUUCAGUGUUCUAGGCAAUUGAUGAAGCUGAAGAUGAGUGGAGCCAGCACAAUUCAAAGAAGCUCAUUGAUACGAGUGAAAAGGGGUUGCGCGGUUCAAUCCCCAAGGAUUUUCCGUACUUCCAUGUUGAAUUCGGAUUGAACAAGGGGUUUGUUCAUGUUAUGGACGAUGAAAAGCAGUUCAAAAGCAACUUUGGACUCAAUGUUAUAAGGGGGAUGCUGCGAUUGCCGGAAGAGGACAUGUAUGGUCGUAGGAAGCAUGAUUCAGUGGAGACACAAAAGCAAGCUGUUGUGAGUUUUGUCAAAGAUUGGGAACCUUUUGAUUGGACGAAACAACUUGACUAAACAUCAUUCUAUUUCCUUAACUGUGUGAUGCUCUUGUGCAUAUUUGGUGCUGCAGCCUUUGACUUGGUUGUGCGGACAAAAGUUUGCUAUGAUCCUUCUUCACAUUCAUCCUCUUUGUGGUACUGGCCCGAGAUUUGGAAUAGUUGGAUAGGAUAAUUUUAUUGCAUACAACUUUGUAAUGUAUUGUUCAUUUCAUGAUGAGGGUUAGUCUAGGGCUAUUGGUCAUCUGUUUUGGAGGCUAAUUAUAGUCUCAAAUUUGCGAAGUCAAACCUAUCUAAGAGCAUCUUCAAUGGUUAUUGCUAUAAUAUCAUUGCUAUUGUUAUAAUUUGGCAAUGAAUAGUGUUAUUUUGUCAAAUUAUAACAAUGGUGCUUCAAUGGUCACUUGCUAUUUUGGCAAUUCUCAACCAACUUUCCCUCUAAGUUUGUAGGCGUUGUUUGGAUAUAGUUUUUUUCUGAUUU